rnacentral:rRNA from 1 species
AUUGAACGCUGGCGGCAGGCCUAACACAUGCCAGUCGAACGGUAACAGGAAGCAGCUUGCUGCUUUGCUGACGAGUGGCGGGCGGGUGAGUAAUGUCUGGGAAACUCCCCGAUGGAGGGGGAUAACUACUGGAAACGGUAGCUAAUACCGCAUAACGUCGCAAGACCAAAGAGGGGGACCUUAGGGCCCCUUGCCAUCGGAUGUGCCCAGAUGGGAUUAGCUAGUAGGUGGGGUAACGGCUCACCUAGGCGACGAUCCCUAGCUGGUCUGAGAGGAUGACCAGCCACACUGGAACUGAGACACGGUCCAGACUCCUACGGGAGGCAGCAGUGGGGAAUAUUGCACAAUGGGCGCAAGCCUGAUGCAGCCAUGCCGCGUGUAUGAAGAAGGCCUUCGGGUUGUAAAGUACUUUCAGCGGGGAGGAAGGGAGUAAAGUUAAUACCUUUGCUCAUUGACGUUACCCGCAGAAGAAGCACCGGCUAACUCCGUG